GUGUUUGCUUUGGCAGCACGUAUAUUAAAAUUGGAACAAUACAGAGAUUAGCCUGCCCUUAUGCAAGAAUGACAUGCAAAUUCAUGACGUGUUCCAUAUUUUU